UAUAUAUUAAUUGAGGAUCAUUUAAAAAGAUGUAACCUUAAUUUUGUACUAAUUACAUUUUAGACUUGCUGAGGUGGCGUUUAAGUAGAACCUAAUUUUGCUGAUGUGUCAUGAUUAGAAUCGAUUGAAAAAUUAGUUAGUCCAAUUUCAAUUUGCUAGGGAACGUCAUAUUAACUAGGAAGACUUUGUUAUACGAUUAACACCUUAUAAACGAAGUUUUAAAAGAAUAUUAACAAAGAGACGCAUUAGGUUUCUAAGAGGGAGUUGCGGCGGCAAAGAAUGAGUGGAGUGAAUUAAGGAGGCGAUGUGGUCAGCAGAGAGAAAGACAGUUGAGGAAAGAGAGGGAGACGAGAGAUGUGGAGAGAGUUCUGAAUGUUGUGAAGGAGAUGGAGGUUACGAGGCGGAACUGGGAGCUGGCAUCACAGGUUAUGACGGUGGUAGGGGUUUGGAGGAGGGACGGUGGUCGCAGGGGACGGUGGGGAUGUUGAGAGAUUCGAGGGCUUUGACAUGUUGUGGCCUGUGGGUCUAAUGGAGGUGCGAGGAGUGGGAGAGGUGCGUGUAAAGGGAGAGAUGGUUGGAGAAGGAGUUGGGGACAGGGAAGGAGCGUUUAUAUAAUUGAUGCUCGACGUUGCAAGUUUGAUCUUUGUUUGUGGGAUUGCUAAUUACUUGAAUGCACCAUAUUUGUGUAAAAAAGACGGGAUUGUGCUGAA